rnacentral:rRNA from 1 species
GGUUCGAUUAUGGCUCAGAUUGAACGCUGGCGGGAUGCUUUACACAUGCAAGUCGAACGGCAGCACGGACUUCGGUCUGGUGGCGAGUGGCGAACGGGUGAGUAAUGUAUCCAGACGUACCUAGUAGCGGGGAUAACUACGCGAAAGCGUAACUAAUACCGCAUACGCCUUCGAGGAAAGCGGGGGAGCCUUCGGGCCUCGCGCACUGACAAACAGCCGAUAUCGGAUUAGCUAGUUGGUGGGCGCGCGGCUCCCGCAAGGCGACGAUCCGUAGCUGGUUUGAGAGGACGACCAGCCACACUGGGACUGAGACACGGCCCAGACUCCUACGGGGUAGCAGUGGGAAUUUUGGACAAUGGGGAAACCUGAUCAAGCCCAUCCGUGCGAUAGAGAGAGGCCUUCGGACAUGCAGCACUUUUGGCAGGAAAGAAACGCUUCCGGGAUAAUACCCCCGUGCAGCGGCGAUACCACCAGAAUAAGCACCGGCUAACUACGUGCCAGCAGCCGCGGUAAUACGUAGAUUGCAAGCGUUAAUCGGAAUUACUGGGCGUAAAGCGUGCGCAGGCGGUUCGGAAAGAAAAGAUGUGAAAUCCAGAGCUUAACCUGGAACUGCAUUUUUAACUGCCGAGCUAGAGUGUGUCAGAGGGAGGUGGAAUUCCGCGUGUAGCAGUGAAAUGCGUAGAUAUGCGGAGGAACACCGAUGGCGAAGGCAGCCUCCUGGGAUAACACUGACGCUCAUGCACAGCGGUAAGGGCAAACAGAGUUAGAUGCCCUGGUAGUCCACGCCCUAAACGAUGUCAACUAGCUGUUGGGGCCUUCGGGCCUUGUGGCCAGCGCAACUAACGCGUGAAGUUGACCGCCUGGGGAAAUACGGUCGCAAGAUUAAAACUCAAAGGAAUUGACGAGACCCCGCACAAGCGGUGGAUGAUGUGGAUUAAUUCGAUGCAACGCGAAAAACCUUACCUACCCUUGACAUGUCUGGAAUCCCGAAGAGAUUUGGGAGUGCUCGCAAGAGAACCGGAACACAGGUGCUGCAUGGCUGUCGUCAGCUCGUGUCGUGAGAUGUUGGGUUAAGUCCGCAACGAGCGCAACCCUUGUCAUUAGUUGCUACGAAGAGGCACUCUAAUGAGACUGCCGGUGACAAACCGGAGGGAAGGUGGGGAUGACGUCAAGUCCUCAUGGCCCUUAUGGGUAGGGCUUCACACGUCAUACCACAAUGGUCGGGACGGUCGCCAACCCGCGAGGGAGCCAAUCCCAGAAACCCGAUCGUAGUCCGGAUCGCAGUCUGCAACUCGACUGCGUGAAGUCGGAAUCGCCUUUAGUAAUCGCGGAUCAGCAUGUCGCGGUGAAUACGUUCCCGGGUCUUGUACACACCGCCGUCUGCACAUGGGAGUGGGUUUUACCGAAGUAGUUAGCCUAACCGUAAGGAGGGCGAUUACCACGGUAGGAUUCAUGACUGGGGUGAAGUCGUAACAAGGUAG